rnacentral:lncRNA from 1 species
CCCCCCUCAUCUCCAAUCCCCAAAAUCAAAAUAUCCUAUAAAAUCAAAACCAAACCCUCUUUCUCACCUAAAACUAGAAUGUGUCUUCCAAUCUUGGAUCUUCAACAACAAUUCAAACAUUAGAAAAGGAAGUAAACAAAACCUUGAAAAAAUAAAAAUAAAAAAGCAUUUGAAUAGAACGAUGCAUAAAUUUCUGAUCCAUCUAACACAUCACAAGACAAACCCAAUCGAAUGCUCUACAAUACAUAGUUGAAUAGACGUAUAAAUCAAAACGGUAUAGUUGAAUAGACGUAUAAAUCAAAACGGCUCAACGAAUAGAAGACAUAAUAAUAGAUGAACUGACCCAUUCAGACUAACUCUAGUAUUUCGCGGGAGAGAAGGAAAAGGCCUAUCCCGCCGUUGAGGAGUCGA